rnacentral:rRNA from 1 species
AUUGAACGCUGGCGGCAUGCUUUACACAUGCAAGUCGAACGGUAACAGGUUAAGCUGACGAGUGGCGAACGGGUGAGUAAUGCAUCGGAACGUGCCCGGUCGUGGGGGAUAACGCAGCGAAAGCUGCGCUAAUACCGCAUACGAUCUGAGGAUGAAAGCGGGGGACCGUAAGGCCUCGCGCGAUCGGAGCGGCCGAUGUCAGAUUAGGUAGUUGGUGGGGCAAAGGCCCACCAAGCCGACGAUCUGUAGCUGGUCUGAGAGGACGACCAGCCACACUGGGACUGAGACACGGCCCAGACUCCUACGGGAGGCAGCAGUGGGGAAUUUUGGACAAUGGGCGAAAGCCUGAUCCAGCAAUGCCGCGUGCAGGAAGAAGGCCUUCGGGUUGUAAACUGCUUUUGUACGGAGCGAAAAGGUCCUUUCUAAUACAAGGGGCUCAUGACGGUACCGUAAGAAUAAGCACCGGCUAACUACGUGCCAGCCGCCGCAGUAACAC